UCCCUGGUGGCUCAGACGGUAAAGCAUCUGUCUACAAUGCAGGAGACCCGGGCUCGAGCCCUGGGUUGGGAA
rnacentral:tRNA from 1 species